rnacentral:rRNA from 9 species
GGUGGUGCAUGGAUAUUGUCAGCUCGUGUCCAAGGUGUUGGGUUAAGUCUCGCAAUGAGCACAACCCUCAUGUCUAGUUGCCACUAUGAGUUUGGAACCCUGAACAGACCACUAGUGUUAAGCCGGAGGAAGGAGAGGAUGAGGCCAAGUCAUCAUGCCCC